rnacentral:lncRNA from 1 species
AGAACAAAAAAUUCUCUCUCUCUCAAAAAAAAAACAAAAAAACAAAAAAUUCUCUCAAUUUUAGAUAUCCAAACUUACUCUUAAUUUCAUAUAUAAUAAUUUGCUAAGUAUUAAUUAUUUUUGGUACAGAUGACAAAUGACUUGGUAGUAGAUAUUCUAGGUAUUCAAGAUCACAAGUUCAAAGCCUAAUUAUGUUAUAUUUUUCCAUCUAAAAUAAGAAAAAAAAGCUAAGUAAAUCUCCCGAUGCUUAUUGCUAUGGAAAAGUCUACCUGUACUCCUAUAGGAAGGUGUAUAUCCUACAACUAUCAGAUCCAAUGGCUGAUAUUAAUCCACUAGCAUAGUAGCUUCUAACCUCACACCUUUUUUACUUCUUACUAAAGCUAACUUAAAUUAAACCCUACUACACUUCUCUCUCCUGCACAGCUCCUCUCGCUAUCUCUGUUUCUCGCUCUCUCUCGCUUCCUCUCUUUCUCUCGCUCCCUUGCCUCUCGUCAUCUCGCGCUCUCCCCUUUCUCUUUCUCUCACUCUCGCUCGCAGGGCACUCCACUCCAUCGGGCAGAAGUUCGGCAGCGCUCGUUCCACACAUCUCGUGUCCGAAGCCGUCUCGAAGGUGUCUCUCGGCCUCGCCUUUCUCCAUUGGUAGGAGGUCGCCUCUCAACUGCUCCCCUGUCCAUCCCAGUACCUGUGACGCAUUCCUUCAGUCGUGAGCGUCCGAAAUUGGGAACGAUUUCGGAGCUAAUUCGGCCACAACCGAAACAGAUGAUUCAACUCAAACA